AUAUGUUAGAGUGGUCCAUGAGAAUUUGUAUGGGCAUGCUCCAUCUCUCUGUUUCUCUCACUAUAUCACUAUAUUUUCACUUGAACGAAAGAAAAAUAAAGGGAUAUGAGAUCUGAGAAAAUUUGAAGGUUUUUGGUUUAAUCUUGCAAAUCCUGGUCAUGCUUUUCCACAGCUUUCUUGAACUUCUUUGCCUUGCUUAAUCUGUGUAUAUAUAGAUCACAACUUGUAUAGCUCCCAUACGUAUAUAGCGCCAUGGAAGCUCAAGAAAGCUGUGGGAGAACAUGGCAAUUCAGGAUUUUUCUGGGCUCUUUUCUUGCUGUUACGGUCAAGACCUCUCCUUUCCUUCAUGGAAUGCAUACAAAAACCAUUCAUGUUCUUCCUCCCUGUAUGGAUCAUGGUAAUUCUAUGAAUUCUCUUGUCAUUUAGACCCUUUUUUGCAGCUUUUUUAAUGGUUUUCUUUAAUUUUCCUUUUAGGAAAAUUCUCUUGUAAUCGAUGACCAUUUUUUGUUUUCUUGAUAAAGAUUUGAUUAUUGUGCGGAAUUAUGAUAUGGAGUUUCAUCCUCUAUCAUUUUCCUCAAAAUUUUCCUUUUUUGGCUGUUGGAGAAAAGAUAAGUUAGGCUUCAAACCAUUUAAACCAUGCACGAACAGGGUAACAUAAUAUUUUGCAAGUUGUAUCUAGUUUUUGGAGAUUACUAUCCUUAAAAUUAAUAUAAAUCCUGAUCAUUGGAUAAAGAUUGUGAAAAAAAGGUUGAAUUUUGUGUUUCUUGCAGAGAAGAUUUCUACCUUUCCUUUUUAUCGUUAAUGAUAAUAGUUCUUCCUCUUGCCUUUUGGUUUAUUUCUAACAUGAUCUCGUGCAUUUCUGCGAAAAAGGUUAAAACUUGUCACUCUCUCACUUUCUGACAUCAGUCUUUUUUUUACCUCUACUCUUUCUCUUUUCUGGUGGGAUCUCCACAGUGGUAGUUGAGGACUUGUGCAACUUGCAAAUCAUACAAUGGUGUAUUCUGUGUUUAAAUUAUUGGGGUUUGCUUCCAUUUCUUCGCUGCCUAGCUGAUGGUCUCAAAACUUUACAAACCUACACAAUUGAUCAACCCUCCUUUAGCCCUCUUUCUGAAAAUAUUAUUGUCCUUUUGAAUCUUGAAUAUCUAACUCAAAGCCUUUAAUUUGUACUUGGUUCUGCAUUGCAGUCCAUGAAAAUUCCCAUAAUUCUUACAUAUCCCUUUUGUUGAUUUCUGUGUUAAGUUGCAGAGAAUUAUUUCAACUUGGAGUGGUUGGUGAGAUUCCUAAUUAUCUUUCACAUUGAUCAAGGGCUUUCACUUCAAAAAGUAAUUAAUUAUCAUGUUAUAUAUUAUCAAUUUUAUUUUAUUUUUAACCAUUCCAAAUUAACAGUUUCUGACCAAAACAUAGUGAAUCAUACAUGCUCCUUAUAAUAUUUCAAAACUGCUUCAAGGCAAGUGUUAAUUUAUCAUAGGCUAAAAGAGAUCGUAGAACAAUAUUUGUUUUUUUCACUUUAGAGAUCAUGCAGUGCCCAUUUUGUAUCUACUAUAUAUGAUUCUUGGCAUACUAUGAUGAUCAGAUGGGGUCCAGCCAAUUAGGACAAUCUACAACUUGCAAAACAUCUCAUUGGCUUAAUUAUUACAGCCAAGGGAAUAAAAAAAAAUUCGAAAGAUUUCACAAAAAGUCACCAAGGAGAUGACUACCAAGCCAACCAAACAGACAUAUUACCAUAAGAAAGGAACCUCCUUGUAUAUGAAGGCCGGAAAGUAGCUGAAGAGAUAUGAUAUGGCAGCUAGGGCAUCAUGUCAAGAUCAGGUUCACAGUCGUGGAGCAUCAUCAUUCAAUAGCAGCAGACGAUCUUCUAUAUGCUGAUUUGAAGAUAUCAUUAUUAUUAUUUAUGAAUAAAUGUAUCCACAUUUAGGAAGACUUUUUCAGUACUGCGCACUUGAUAUUCAAUUUAUUUCUCUCCACGACCCAUCUUGAUUAGAUUUAAAAUGGUGUAUUCUAUGUUCUUUUGACCUGCAUUUAAGCAAUAAUAAUGCUUGUACAUGUUUCUGAUAA